CUACAACUAUUGUACCUUUCUUUGGCGACCAACCAUUCUGGGGUGAGCGGGUGCAUGCUAGAGGGGUAGGGCCUUCGCCUAUACCGGUUGAUCAAUUCACUUUGCAGAAGUUGGUUGAUGCUAUAAAAUUCAUGUUGGAUCCAGAGGUGAAAGAAAAGGCUGUGGAGCUUGCCAAGGCCAUGGAAUCUGAAGACGGCGUAACGGGUGCAGUCAGGGCAUUCCGCAAACACCUGCCCUGUAAAACAGAUGAAAACUCACCCCCACCAACGCACGGCUUUCUAGAGUUCCUAGGCCCAGUAAGUAAAUGUUUGGGGUGCUCUUAGGUGCUGGUCAGAUGCAGGUAUACCAUUCCUCCCUGCUGAACGGAGAGUGUAACAAAAGGCUCUUGGGUGACGCACUAUGCUAUUUCGUGCGAUAAGAAUGUGGAAGCCGAAUGUUAGAAGUUGAUGUACUUGCAUGCGACCAGGAGCCCGCGAUUUAUGGUUCUGCGUUUUUUUGUAUGUGUGUUGUGUAAAGAGUAUUUGUCUGGUGAUUUUAAUACAUCAUUUUGGUGUGGUUGCAACCUUGGCCUGCAGGAACAGAUGAUCCCUCAUGUAUGACCAGGCAACCUGUGUAUAUGGAAAACUUCAGAGUGCAGAUUAGUUCAG